rnacentral:lncRNA from 1 species
GAAAGCCUUCAUAGUCUGAUAAGAUCAUAAUUGUUUUUCCUGAAACCAUGUGAUUGAUUUACGAAAAUGGUUAAAAGGACGUUGAAGAUGGAGGAGCCUAAGCUCGGUUUUUUUACCUGUGUUUACUUAUUACUGUUUUGGCAGACACUUUUCAGUAAUUUCUAGUAAUACUAGGGAGUAUUUUCUACAUUAUCUUCUUAUAAUUGUUCUUGAAUGAAUGGCGAAGGAGUUAGGACGGCUAUUAAUUCUACUGAAGAACUAUUUCUUGCAUUUCACUUUAUGGACACUCGCUAUAUUUUUAAGUUCUAGAUGGACGUUUUUCUUUCUUAUAGAUGGGCGCGAUUUUAUGACCAUUGAUGUUGUAGUGUAUUACACAUAAAUACAUUAUUAUUUAUUGUUCUUCAUUUAAUGGUGAAUGAGCUAAGCGUUAACUUAAUUUUACUGAUAUACUUUCAGGUAGUAUGAAUGAAUUGAACGUUCGAGAGCCACUGUUCAAUAAGUACAUAUUCGACGAAUUGGAACAUGGGAAACAUUGUAACGAGCUCAAUACUGAGAAGCUUAUUACGUUUUACAGUUUUACAUAAUAUACAGCAACUAAAAUGAAUUGGUUUUGCAGUUAUUGCAGGCGAUAUGUUGACAAUCAUGAGCGUUUUCGAGUUGCCUCCCAGACUGGAUUGUAACAGAUACGUGAGCUUAGAAUUCCUGUAAAUAAUGUACUAAUAUUAGAUUAAAUUAAUAAAAUAAUAAA